rnacentral:rRNA from 1 species
CUAGUAUNNNCAUUAUACCGCGAAACUGCGAAUGGCUCAUUAUAUAAGUUAUCGUUUAUUUGAUAAUACUUUACUACUUGGAUAACCGUGGUAAUUCUAGAGCUAAUACAUGCUAAAAAUCCCGACUUCGGAAGGGUUGUAUNUAUUAGAUUAAAAACCAAUGCCCCUCGGGGCUCUCUGGUGAAUCAUGAUAACUAGUCGAAUCGACAGGCCUUGUGCCGGCGAUGGCUCAUUCAAAUUUCUUCCCUAUCAACUUUCGAUGUUUGGGUCUUGUCCAAACAUGGUGG